rnacentral:tRNA from 1 species
CCUGGUGGCUUAGAUGGUAAAGUGUCUGCCUGCAAUGCAGAAGAUCUGGGUUUGAUCCCUGGGUCAGGA